rnacentral:rRNA from 1 species
UACGUAGGGUGCGAGCGUUGUCCGGAAUUAUUGGGCGUAAAGAGCUCGUAGGCGGCUUGUCGCGUCGGAUGUGAAAGCCCGGGGCUUAACUCCGGGUCUGCAUUCGAUACGGGCAGGCUAGAGUUCGGUAGGGGAGAUCGGAAUUCCUGGUGUAGCGGUGAAAUGCGCAGAUAUCAGGAGGAACACCGGUGGCGAAGGCGGGUCUCUGGGCAGUAACUGACGCUGAGGAGCGAAAGCGUGGGGAGCGAACAGG